UACGAAGGGGGCUAGCGUUGCUCGGAAUCACUGGGCGUAAAGGGUGCGUAGGCGGGUUUUUAAGUCAGGGGUGAAAUCCUGGAGCUCAACUCCAGAACUGCCUUUGAUACUGAAGAUCUUGAGUCCGGGAGAGGUGAGUGGAACUGCGAGUGUAGAGGUGAAAUUCGUAGAUAUUCGCAAGAACACCAGUGGCGAAGGCGGCUCACUGGCCCGGUAUAGACGCUGAGGCACGGAAAGCGUGGGGAGCAAACAGG
rnacentral:rRNA from 1 species